rnacentral:rRNA from 2 species
GGAGGAAAAGAAACCAACAGGGAUUGCCUCAGUAACGGCGAGUGAAGCGGCAACAGCUCAAAUA